rnacentral:rRNA from 1 species
AAUAGCGUAUAUUAAAGUUGUUGCAGUUAAAAAGCUCGUAGUUGAAACUUGGGCCUGGCUGGCGGGUCCGCCUCACCGCGUGCACUCGUCCGGCCGGGCCUUCCUUCUGAAGAACCUCAUGCCCUUCACUGGGCGUGCUGGGGAAUCAGGACUUUUACUUUGAAAAAAUUAGAGUGUUCAAAGCAGGCCUUUGCUCGAAUACGUUAGCAUGGAAUAAUAAAAUAGGGCGUGCGUUUCUAUUUUGUUGGUUUCUAGAGACGCCGCAAUGAUUAACAGGAACAGUCGGGGGCAUCAGUAUUCAGUUGUCAGAGGUGAAAUUCUUGGAUUUACUGAAGACUAACUACUGCGAAAGCAUUUGCCAAGGAUGUUUUCAUUAAUCAGUGAACGAAAGUUAGGGGAUCGAAGACGAUCAGAUACCGUCGUAGUCUUAACCGUAAACUAUGCCGACUAGGGAUCGGGCGAUGUUCUUUUUCUGACUCGCUCGGCACCUUUACGAGAAAUCAAAGUUUUGGGUUUCUGGGGGGAUUAUUGU